rnacentral:rRNA from 2 species
UGCAGUCGAGCGGACAGAUGGGAGCUUGCUCCCUGAUGUUAGCGGCGGACGGGUGAGUAACACGUGGGUAACCUGCCUGUAAGACUGGGAUAACUCCGGGAAACCGGGGCUAAUACCGGAUGCUUGAUUGAACCGCAUGGUUCAAUUAUAAAAGGUGGCUUUUAGCUACCACUUACAGAUGGACCCGCGGCGCAUUAGCUAGUUGGUGAGGUAACGGCUCACCAAGGCAACGAUGCGUAGCCGACCUGAGAGGGUGAUCGGCCACACUGGGACUGAGACACGGCCCAGACUCCUACGGGAGGCAGCAGUAGGGAAUCUUCCGCAAUGGACGAAAGUCUGACGGAGCAACGCCGCGUGAGUGAUGAAGGUUUUCGGAUCGUAAAACUCUGUUGUUAGGGAAGAACAAGUACCGUUCGAAUAGGGCGGUACCUUGACGGUACCUAACCAGAAAGCCACGGCUAACUACGUGCCAGCAGCCGCGGUAAUACGUAGGUGGCAAGCGUUGUCCGGAAUUAUUGGGCGUAAAGCGCGCGCAGGCGGUUUCUUAAGUCUGAUGUGAAAGCCCCCGGCUCAACCGGGGAGGGUCAUUGGAAACUGGGGAACU